ACAGGGCCCUCACCGGAGGGUGGGGAGGGCAGAGAAAGGAAGAGAGAACGCUCACUGGAGGGCCGCCAGACGGAGGGCCGAGGCGGCGCAUCGCCGAAUGAAAGCACGUACUUGUUUAACAAAUUGGCAUAUACAUACAUCUAUAUAUACCGGUAUGCGAACGAUUAUCCCGUACUUUCCGGCGUGGCCGGUUAUCAAUCAGGGAC
rnacentral:lncRNA from 1 species